GAUGAACGCUGGCGGCGGGCUUAACACAUGCAAGUCGCACGGAAGCGCCCUGCUUUUUUGCGGUUCCCGAUUGCCAACCGCGUGCGUAUGACGUGUGUAACCUGCCCUUGACUUUCGGAUAACUUCAGGAAACUGGAGCUACUACCGUAUAGGAUCUCCUGCUGCUUUGUGGGGGUUGGAAAGUUGCGGCGGUUGGGGAUGGACUCGCGGCUUAUCAGCUUGUUGGUUGGGUGGUGGCUUACCAAGGGUUAGACGGGUAGUCGGCCUGAGAGGGUGACCGGGCACAUGGGGACUGUGAUACGGCACAGAGACGAAGGGGAGACAGGAGAGGGGAAGAUAGCACAAUGGGAGGAAGUAGGAUGCAGAAACGCCGCGUGCGGGAUGACGGCCUGCGGGUAGUAAAAAGCAGACGGAUGAGACGAAGCGUGAGUGACGGUAAUGGAUGAAGAAGAACCGGCUAACUACGUG
rnacentral:rRNA from 1 species